AACGAACGCUGGCGGCAGGCUUAACACAUGCAAGUCGAACGCACCUUCCGGGGUGAGUGGCAGACGGGUGAGUAACGCGUGGGAAUCUACCCUUCUCUACCGGAUCGUUCCGGGAAACUGGAAUUAAUACCGUAUACGUCCUGCGGGAGAAAGAUUUAUCGGGGAAGGAUGAGCCCGCGUUGGAUUAGCUAGUUGGUGGGGGAAAGGCCUACCAAGGCGAGGAUCCAUAGCUGGUCUGAGAGGAUGAUCAGCCGCAUUGGCAAUGAGACACGGCCCAAACUGCUACGGAGAGGAGCAGAAUAGAGUACUAGGCGAGGAAGGCAGGUCUGAUAAAGCCGUGCCGGGUGAGACGUGAAGGCGGUAGUAAAGUGAAGCUCUUUCAGAGGAGGCGUGAGUGACGGUACCCACAGAAGAAGCCCCGGCUAACUUCGUG
rnacentral:rRNA from 1 species